AAAUUAAGAAAAUAAGUAUUUUUGCAAAAGUAUUACAUUUGAGGAACCGUUUGAAUUUUGAAUUUUAAUUAAUAUAAUUUAAUAUUUCGGCCACGUCGCUAAUAAAAUAUAAAUAAAUAAAUGCGGACGGUUUAUUUUUUCCAAUUAAGUUUAUAUCAUAAACCCCCCUUAUAUUAACAAAUUUAUUUUCAAUUGCCUUGUUUUAAAAAAUCUUUUUUAUUAUUUUUAAUGUUUUUACACCAUAGCUACUUCUCGUUUGGGGAAAAGAUCCUUUAUUAUCUCCGUAUAAUAAAAUAGACAAUAUGUAUUUUGGUAAAUCAAUUGUAUAAACCCAAAUAUUGUUUCGAACAAAAUAUAAAAGUUUCUUUUGGUGUUAUUAUAUAUAUAAAACUCUUUCUUUUAUUAUUUAAAACUAUUAUUAGCGCGCAGAAUUAUUAAUAAUAAUAUUUUUAUUAGCCAGAACCCGACUUUCUUAAAUAAUACGAAUAUUUCCCGUUAUUUCCUAUAUAAUAAUAUAUUAACGUUCCAUUCUUUGAAAAUAUGUAGGAAGUUAAUAAUUUAUAACCGUAGGAAAUAAAUUUCCUUGAUAAUAAUUUUAUUUUGUUUUUUAAUUAUUAAAAUUGGUAUUUUUUAAAUUUGAAACGUUAAUUAGUAUUAUAACGCGAAAGUCUAAUUAAAUUAAAUUAUCUUUUGCACAUGGAUUUAUAACUUUUUUCCCGUAAUCUCAGGUAAAUUUAAACAACGAGCCGAAAUUUGAAAUAUGGGACGUUGGGGUAAACUUGGGGUAUUAUAUCUACUAAUAAACGUAAUAAUAACUUUUCCAAAGGGGUUGUUUUGCGUAUUCUUACCUUUCACUAUUUAAAUUUUAAUAUUGUCUUUAAAUGUAAGCCAAUUCGAAGUUCUAAUUUAUUAUUUACCCGAUACCAAAGUUUUUCUUAAAUAAUAAUUAGUGAAAUAUAUAUAUUUCUUUGCUGUAAUAAUAUUUGAAUAGUUUUCCCGUAAUUUUAUUUUGUCGAUUAUUCCAAUAUUUAACAUUUGCGGAUUUUCCGGAGUUGCGUGUUUCUUUUGUUGGGUUUGCGUUCGGUUUAACCUUUUUUCUAAAUUUCCGUUAUUUGUUUGUUUUUUGUUCGGUUUUUGCGUUGGAAAAGAUACUUAGGAUAAUUUGCGAUUUUCUCUUUGUUCCCAUCUUUUCGCUUUUCUUUAAUUUUCAACGCCUUGUUUUCUACUUUUAAUAUUAUUUUAAUAUUUUUAUACCCGACCCUCUGUUUUACUCAAGUUAAGGAAUAAAAUAUUGCAAUAUAUAUCGAAAUACUUCCUCAUCUAAUUGUUAAUUUGUUGAAAAUUUGUAAAAAACAAUUUUCCUUGAUUUCUUUUAUAUGGGAGUUUAAAUUUAAAAAAAUAAAUAUACCAAUUUAUAAAAGUUACUUUUAUAAUAUAUUUAAUUUGUUUUAGUCUUGAAAUAAUAUUUUUUAAUCUUGUUAAUUGUAAUAAUUAUUUUUGUCUAUUUGAUUAGAUUGUUCCAAGAAAUUUUAAUAGCGGUACGUUCGCGUUUUAAAAACCCCAAAAUAUAAAUAAAUAUUAUAAUAGUUUCGACACGCAAUUUAUAAGCUUAAAAAUCUAUAAAAGGUUUUACUUUUUUCGGUGCAAUAUUUUUUAAAUAUUGCUGUAAAUAUUUGUUAUAUUUAUAAUAAUUAAUUGAUUAUUAUAAUAUUUUUAUAAUAAAUAAAAUUUCAGGAUAAAAAAAUGGGGAUUUUCAACCUUCCUUUUUUAUUUUUAGGAAAUUGGCGUUUUUUUGAGUAAAAAAUUGGCGUUAUUUUCAAACCUUUCUAAUUUCCCGUUGGAAAUUUAAUUUUCUUUAUAUAAACUUUUUACAAUGUUUAAAUUGGCGCAGUUUUUUUUCAACGUCGAAGGGGUUUAUGUAUUUAUUAAUUUUUAUAAUUCGCCUAUAUAAUAAUUAGUUAUUAUAUAUAAAGUUUAAAGAAACGAUUUAAGUUUAUUAUAACCGGGGAUAAUUACUGGUUAAAUAUAUGUUAAUUAACAAAAUAUAGGGUAAUAUAAUAGCUUAUAAUAAUCUUUGAUAAUAUUAUUGCAAUAAUAUCCGAAUUAGAAACUAAUUUUCAAAAGUGUAAGGUUAACCUGCAACUUCUAGGAUUCAUCAGCAUUUAUUUUCAAGCGGCCGGCGCUUUAAUUGCGUUUACGUAACGCAAAUUUACAAGUUUCGCACAGCCUAGCCCCUAAAGUUACCCGUUAAUAAUUUAACAUUAGCAAAUUUGCACGUAAUGUAAAACUAACUAAUAUUAAGAGAUAUUUUGUCAAUUACUUUACUAAAUAACUUACUACUACUGGUAAGAGGUAGCAUAUAUUUAUUUGUUUGGUAAAAGUAUUAAGUUUAAAUGCAAAUGUUUUUCGCAUUUUACACCCGUAUAAGAAAUUUCCCAUAAUAAUAUAUUUUAGGUCCGAACUAGGUAAAAGUAAUAAUUAUACAUUUUAUUUUGCAUGUAAUAAGUCCACUGUUUUUAUAUAUAAUUUAUAAUAUAUAGCGCUGAAAUGGGGUUGUUAAAGUUCUGUUAAUUUGUUAAAUAUAAGAGUUGUAACUUAAAGAUGAGCGAGUGGGAUUAGCUACCCUGUACCGGGUUUAAAAUUUAACUAGAUUUGUAUUUAAAUAUAAACCCAGAAAUAGUUUGUAUGCAAAUAAGGGUGUUUUUUCAAAAAUCCAUACAAAUUAAUUUUUCAAAAAUCCACCUACGGUACCGGAAACCCUUUUGCCGUGCCGACCCCCAUUUCGAUCUCGGAGGGUAUAUAAGGGAAAUAAUACAAAAUUUCCCCCAACCAAUACAAUUACCUAUUCCAAGUUUUAGUGCACUUUACCCUAUAUUUACAGGGUUUUCAUACCCCCGUUACAGCGCUUUUAUCACUGGUUAUUAACAACGCCGCACCUAGGGUUUACCCCUAAACCCCUAUUAAUAUAUAUAUUAUUUACAAAAAGUAGCGUUUUACAAUAUGUAAAAUAUUUGAAAUACGCUUAAAAUACGUUUCCGUUAUAUAUAUUAUAAAAAGUAUAUAUAAAAAACCGAGUCUUAUAUAAUUUAACUGGUGUACCACCGCUUUUAACUUUUAUAAAUUAGCCCCCUAAUAUUAACUCUUUUUCCGUUCCGGAUUAGUAUUACCAAAUGCAGCUUUUAUUAAAUUUAAUGUGGUAUUAUAUUAAUAAUUUAGAAAAUUUAAAUUCAGGUACUCGAUUUAUUAUUUGUUUUAAAACUUUAAUUUCCGCAGCCCUUACGAAGAUUUUCAAUCGUUAUAAACCGGUAAAUAAAUUACUGCACGGCGUUAAUAAUUGCCCGUUAAAAACAAGUGUUUGUAUUAACAAAAUUAUAUUUGUCAUAUGUUUUAUCUUUGCAAUAAUAAUUAUUUAAUCCGUUUUAAAUUUCGCGUGCCUGUAAUCCUGACCGGUAACUAUAAUAAUUUAAUUCGACCUGUUAAUAUUAAUUCGAAGUUAGCUAUAAGUAUAUUAUUAUAAUAACUUGUUUGUUUAUAUUUAUUAUUUGCGAUUCUCAUUUUAUUAUCCGCCGUUAUUUUUAUAAUAUCUUUUAUUUCCGAAUAUAUUUUACUAUACCUGUUAAUAACUCUAUUACUUCUUAUAAUUAUACUAUUCUGGUAAGUUUUACAAUUUGUUAUUUUCUCUUUCUCCCGUUUUUAAUUUGUUAAACAAACUAUUAUUAUUAUAUAAACUCAAAAUUUAAAUUCCAACGUUGUUAAUAUUUUUAAUUUUUAAUUUUUAAUUUUAUAAUCUUAUUAUAAUAUUCUGGUUUAUACUAGUUAAUACGCUAUCCGCAAACCUGAACAUGGCCGGGAACUCGGCCGCUAGUAAAGGCGGUAAUUAACGUUUCUUUUUUCUAAACUUCUAAUUUUAUUAAUAAUAAUAAAAGUAACUCAAAAUCUCACGACGUAUUUUAUUAUUAUUUAAUUAAGUUCGCGGAAACCUUUUGUAAAAUACGUAAAUUAACUUUUUAUUCAAGUUUAUAUUACUUAUUCUGAUUAUUUUCGUGUUAAUUAUACUUACGUUUCCAUUAUCCAAGUACAUAUAUUAGCUCAUAAUUAUUAUCCUGCGGAAACCCGCCCCCCCAUUAAAUUAUUUCCGUAUUUAAUAUUACAAAAUUGCCCAGUUUUAAAAUUAUUAAUAUAAUUAAUACCGGCUAGUAUUUAUAUAAUAUUUGCUUUUUUUACUUUUCUACCUAUUAUUGUAAUUUCUAGUUUAACAGUUAAUUAUAUUAGAAGAGUAUAUAGAUUUAACUAAUAUAUAAACUUAACUUUUGUUUCGGUCGGUUUUUACUAAUUUGAAAAGUUCUUUGUUUCGAAAAUAAUAUCUCCGCGUCCACAACUAUAUUUAGCGCCCGCGUAAAUUCAACUUUCAGCAAUUCCUAAUUACUUAUUACAAAGUUUCAAUUUUAUUCCAUUUAAUAUAAUAUUAUAAAGUAAAACGUGGUAACGGUAAAAAAAAGUUGGGGCCGUUUUUUUAAAAUACAAUUGUUUAAUUUUAGGAAACAAAUAGCAAUAUUGUAAAUUUGCAAUUGUUCGUCUUCUUAUUUUGGUAUUUUUAAAUUUACUAUUCCGUCAAGUAAUUAGUAAAGUUUUGCUUUCAACUAUUAAUUUUUAAUUUCCAAAAAUAUUAUAUUAUCUCUUAGAACAUUCUCGUCUUCUUACUCGAAGUUAUCUUAACCUUUUAAAAUUUAUAAUUAAUUAUAUAAACUUCCACAUUGGAUAUAUAUUUGUUUCCUACUAGUAUUUUAUUUUCCGGAAAACUUUUUUCUUUCUCUUUUAAAUGCAAUAACGUCAAUCUUUUUAACUUUUUAUUUUUUAUUUUUUUACAAUUAUUCAAAAUGGUUACAAAUUACGAAUUUGUUAGCCGGGUAAAUAAUUAUUUCUAAGUUAAUUAUCUUGGGUUUAUUUAUAUAAAAACGGUUAAAUGUACUUAUAAGUAUUUUAUUAGUUUUACCACGUUUAAUUUUAAUAUUUUAAAACUGGUAUAUUUGGGUUUUUUGAUAAUUUCAUACGUUUUCAAAUAUAUAUUAUAAGUAUUUCAAAACCAAAUACAUUUUGUUUUAUACGCGCGAUUAUUUAUAUAAUUACUUAGUUUCAAUUUGCGUACAGCGUUAACUUUUAUUAGACCGUAUUAACAGUUAUUUGCGUGGGAUUAUUUAAUUUAAAUUAAACCGGUUACGAUAACCUUUACUUUUUAAACCGCUAAUAUUUUGGUGGUAUUUGUCGGUUGCAUAAUUGCAAUUUCAAAAAGGGCAUCGUAUAUAUGUACGGCGAAAAAGUUUAUUCUAAUAAUAUUUUACGUUCUUAAAAUUAAACGCUAAUUAUAUGGCGGCUAAUUAAUUAUUUGUUCCAGUUGUUUCGAUUAUAAUAGAAAUAUGUUUUCCAUAUUAUUUAUGGGUUUGAAUUUCCUUUUUAUACCGCCAUAUAUUUCCGGACAAUAUACCGUAUUAAACUCGCGUUAUAUUUGUAUAAAUUUGCACAGUUUGGCCCAAUAUUGAAAAAUUGCAUGUUUCCUUUAUUUGAAAAAAUAGGGUGGGACAACCUGUAAAUUUCAAGUUUAUAAAUUAACAACCGUUUUGCGCCUGGUUUUGUAUUUAUUCCCAAUUUAAAUACUAAUACGAUUAUAUUUAACAGCGUUUAAAAAGUUUGGAUUAAUUUAAAUAACCUUGGCUAUUUUAAAUGAAUCCGAAAAGAGAUUAGUAAAAAAGUAAUAUAAUUUAAUUUAAAUUUCAAAUUACAAAACAAUUACAAAGAAAUCUUUUUCUAACUUAGUUUUUACCAUAUAAUAGAACAGCUAAAUAUAAACAAUUUUACUAAUAUAUUAUUUUAAUUUAUUUAUUACAACUUAUCUAAAUAUUUAUAAAGCAAACUUAUUAUUUAUUACAAAAAUAAUCUAUUUGGACAUUAAAUAUUUAAAAUAAGAGAAAAACCAAAUGAAAUAUUUUAUAAAACCUAUUUAUAUAAUAAUUGUUUUCUCCAAUUUUAAUAAAUUCCUUCCUAUUACUUACUGGUUUAUUAUACUUGCUAUUCUCCUCCUUUAUACUAUUUAAUAUUUCUUUAAUAUUAGAAUAUAGCUAUUAUCUUCAAAUAUUUCCGCCUUUUAUUAAUUAUAAUAUAUUAUACGCAAUAAAUAUAUACUCUUUUUUUCUAUAUUAGUAAUAUUGUUAUUUAUCUAAGUUUUUGUCAUUUACCCUUUUGGGGCGUUUUCGGGCUUUUUAAACUAAUAAUCCAAAUAUAAAUGGCCUUUUAAUUUGCAAUAAAACAACUUACUUGGGGGCCCAUAUUAUAUAGCCCCCAAGUAUAUUUUUAAGCGCUCCGUUAUUUUGAUUUUAGCUGCAAUAAUUUUAAUUGUACGGCGCUUUUAGUGAUAUUUUGAGAUUAUAUCCGUAGAAAUACUAAUAUUAUAACCGUUGGAAGUAUUAAAAAAAUUAACGCUGGUAAUAAUAUUUAUUUCUACAGUAAAAGAUAUUGCUAAAAUUAACAAUUAGGUUUAAAAUAAUUAUUUGAUAAAUUAUAUAUUCGAAGUUUAAUUUGGUCUUUUUCGUUUUUGAAAUUAUUUUUAUAAUUUAAAAAGUUCAAUUGAAAAAACAACCACAAGGAUAUAACCCGACUUAUAUAAUUAAAAAUUCAAUUUCAAAAAGACUGUAAUUAAUAAUAUAAAAGAAUUUCUUUUUUAUAAAGUUAAAUAAUACUUUUUAUAAUAACAGGGAUCCGGAUGUUAAAUUGUUUAAAAAGGUAGAGUUUAAAAGUUAAAACCGUUAAAACGAGUAUAUUAUAAAUUCAAAUAGGCGUUUAUACAAGAAUAAUCUAUCACUAUUUUGGAAAAAUAAGGAAAUAUUAAAAAUCGGUUUCUUAUAUUAAAUUUGGUAGUUGAAAGUACUUGAAUAUUUAAACUGUUUCAAUUAUAAUACAAUUUACUUUUCUAUUGCUACUAAUAUAACUACCCCCAAAUAUAACAGAUGAAGUACAAAUAUUAUGGGAAAACUAAUAUAAUUAAACAAUUGAAAUGGAAAUAAUU
rnacentral:sRNA from 1 species